rnacentral:rRNA from 1 species
UUAGAUUUUGGAUCCAUGGCUCAGAUGAACGCUGGCGGCAGGCCUAACACAUGCAAGUCGAGCGGUAACAGAUCCAGCUUGCUGCCUGCUGACGAGCGGCGGACGGGUGAGUAAUGCAUAGGAAUUUACCCGAUAGUGGGGGAUAACCUGGGGAAACCCAGGCUAAUACCGCAUACGUCCUACGGGAGAAAGGGGGCUUCGGCUCCCGCUAUCGGAUGAGCCUAUGCCGGAUUAGCUGGUUGGUGAGGUAAUGGCUCACCAAGGCGACGAUCCGUAGCUGGUCUGAGAGGAUGAUCAGCCACAUCGGGACUGAGACACGGCCCGAACUCCUACGGGAGGCAGCAGUGGGGAAUAUUGGACAAUGGGCGCAAGCCUGAUCCAGCCAUGCCGCGUGUGUGAAGAAGGCCCUCGGGUUGUAAAGCACUUUCAGCGAGGAAGAACGCCUGGCGGUUAAUACCCGCCAGGAAAGACAUCACUCGCAGAAGAAGCACCGC